GGGCUAGUAGUGUAGGGGCAUCAUGCAAGAUUCCCAUUCUUGCGACCUGGGUUCGAGUCCCAGCUAGUGCA